rnacentral:rRNA from 1 species
ACGGGGCCCGCACAAGCGGUGGAGCAUGUGGUUUAAUUCGACGCAACGCGAAGAACCUUACCAGGGCUUGACAUCCCCUGACCGCGUAUGAAAGUACGUUUUCACCUCGGGUGACAGGGAGACAGGUGGUGCAUGGUUGUCGUCAGCUCGUGUCGUGAGAUGUUGGGUUAAGUCCCGCAACGAGCGCAACCCUCGACCUUAGUUGCCAGCAUUCAGUUGGGGCACUCUAAGGUGACUGCCGGCUAAAAGUCGGAGGAAGGUGGGGAUGACGUCAAAUCAUCAUGCCCCUUAUGACCUGGGCUACACACGUGCUACAAUGGGCGGUACAAAGGGUCGCGAACCCGCGAGGGGGAGCCAAUCCCAAAAAGCCGCUCUCAGUUCGGAUUGCAGGCUGCAACUCGCCUGCAUGAAGCCGGAAUCGCUAGUAAUCGCGGAUCAGCAUGCCGCGGUGAAUACGUUCCCGGGCCUU